ACAACGUUUUAGCGAUGAUGUUUUGGACUUGUCACUAGAAAACAUCGCUAAAACGUUGUUCAGCUGUCUAGUGACAAGUCCAAAACAUCAUCGCUAAGACGUUGUUCA
rnacentral:pre_miRNA from 1 species